GAAGGUUUUUUAUUCACUAGAUAAACAAUAUUCCCUUUUUGUUUCUAUCCUAUUAACACCAAUGAAAAAUCUCAAAAUUCAGCAUUACUGUAGAUGUACAUGCAGCAAGAAAAUUAUUCCAUGCCUUGCACAGGACCUUAUAAAGGGAAAUACUGUGUCUAUCAAGCUUAUCUGUUCAUCUGGAUUCCCAGGACCAAAAGACCAACAGCCUGCACAGAGACAUCCUGCUACAGAUCAGUGACUGUACUCUGCAGUCAGGUUAAUGAAGAAUGAGCUGGCUGAAAGAUGAACAUGAUUAUGUGUAAGACAACAGAUCUUAUGGAAGCAGAAGACUGUAUGGGGGACCUACACAGUGACCAACAGCAGACUAGCAGCAGAACACUGAACAAAAGGAAAACCAGACUUGUCUGUUACAUAUGUUUUCUCACAAGAAAGAGCACACACGGGGAUUCAGUCCCCAUGUGACUUCAGGAGAAGGCAGAGGAGUUACAAAGAAGGGAUUAACUGGCAAUACAUUUGCAAUUAAGUGCUCUGCCAUCCUUGCUCUCUUUUCAGCAGCUUUACAUUUCCUUCUGUUGACGUUAUACCCCCAAGCUACCCAAAGCAGGUGGGGUGGUCGGGAACGAAGAGUCUCAUAAGCAAAUGCUAAAGAGCUCCUAAUUCAAGAUGGACACUAAAACUGCUGAAAAUUUUGUAACAAAUUGUCAACUUUUUGUCCCCCUUCCAAAAGCUCCCAGAGACUCUUGCUCUUGGUGUUGGGAUCUCCUUUCUAACACAGAUAUUGUUUAAAUACGCAAUGUUAUUUUACUUUAGUUCUCAAAUGAGUCUUUAUUUCAUCCAGAUGUUACUGCUCAUAUCCCUGUCUUCGUUUAGAGCAACACUUUGUAGAAUACCUAAUCUUUAAGUCACUUUUACUUUAAUUCACCACUAUAUUUUUAAACGACUGUGUUUGACAUAAACCACUAGCUGGUUUCACAACUGCAGCGUCUCCACCUUUGGCAAACUCUUCACUUAUUUAUUCCCUCCUCUUUUAAUGGAGUUGCUGGAACCACUUAAAAUCCAUUAAUACACUACAAAUUUCAAGCACAAAUCAUAUUUGUGUGAACUAGUGCAGUUGGAAAUGCUGAAUAACUUCUACUUCAUAUGAAAUCAAGUCCAUUGUAAAUGUGUAAUUGCGAUCCUCAAACAGCUUAAAGAUUUUCUGCAAAUACUGAUGCAUACAAAAACAAACCGACAUAUGUAACAGAUUACGACAAACACAAGGGAAGGGUGUGGACAGCUACCAAAAGCCAAGAAGUGUAGGAUGUCACAAGCGAACAUACAGCCGGGUGGAGCGACAGCACUAUUCCGAGCAAAGAUGUGAAGAGUCUCUUCCUGUGAAAGAAGUGGCACUUAGCACCAAGGUAUUUUCAUCCUGUCAACACUGGCCCUGUGGUUAGCUGCUGAAGGGUUGGAGGAGAGUCUCCUCUAAAGAAAAAAAUAAACAAAGAAAAACCAUGUAUGUCACCACAGCAGAAGAUACUGCAUUUGGAUGUGUGAGCGAGCGGUGGAUCCUUUGGGAAGUGCCAGCAGGGCCUGGUGAUGGCCAUGCCUCCAGAAAGCUGCUGUGGAGGUGGAUCUGCAUAUCUUGUUUAUUCCAUUUGCUUAUCCAGGGCACCCUACAGAUGGAGGGAUAAGAAAAGAUCAG
ensembl:lncRNA